CUAAAACAUUCUUCUGCCUUAGUAUGGGCGACAGAAAAGGCCUACUGGCGCGAUAGAGAUCCGUACCGCAAGGGAAAGAUGAAAUAGUAAUGAAAACCCAAGCGAAAAACAGCAAAGAUAAACCCUUGUACCUCUUGCAUCAUGAUUUAGUAAGAACAACCAAGCAAAAUGAAUUUAAGCUUGCCACCCCGAAACCCGAGCGAGCUACUUACAAGCAGCUACCCCCUGAGCGAACCCGUCUCUGUUGCAAAAGAGUGGGAUGACU
rnacentral:rRNA from 1 species